rnacentral:rRNA from 1 species
GACGAACGCUGGCGGCGUGCUUAACACAUGCAAGUCGAACGGAAAGGCGCUGCUUUUGUGGGGUGCUCGAGUGGCGAACGGGUGAGUAACACGUGAGUAACCUGCCCUUGACUUUGGGAUAACUUCAGGAAACUGGGGCUAAUACCGGAUAGGAGCUCCUGCUGCAUGGUGGGGGUUGGAAAGUUUCGGCGGUUGGGGAUGGACUCGCGGCUUAUCAGCUUGUUGGGGGGGUAGUGGCUUACCAAGGCUUUGACGGGUAGCCGGCCUGAGAGGGUGACCGGCCACAAGGGUACUGAGAUACGGCCCAGACGCCAACGGGAGGCAGCAGGGGGGAAUAUUGCACAAUGGGCGGAAGCCUGAUGCAGCAGCGCCGCGUGCGGGAUGACGGCCUACGGGUUGUAAACCGCUUUCGCCUGUGACGAAGCGUGAGUGACGGUAAUGGGUAAAGAAGCACCGGCUAACUACGUG